GUGGAACUCAAUAGAGAAAAUCAACAAAACCAAGAGCAGGUUCUUUGAAAAGAUUAUUACAGUCCAUAGGCCUCUAGAAAGGCUAAGUGAGAACAAAAAAGAAAAAAUAGAGAAGACACAAAUAACUAAUACCAGAAAUGAAAGAGGAGACACCACUACAGAUUCCAUGGCCGUUAAAAGGAUAAUAAAGAAAUAUUAUGAAUUUGUUACCUUGGAUGAAAUGGCCCAAUUCCUUGUAAGAUAUAAUUUUCAAAACUCCCACAAGAAUAAAUAGAUAACUUGAAUAGGCCUAUAUCUACUAACGGAAUUAAAUCAAUUAUUAAUAACCUUCCAACACAGAAAGCACCAGGCCCAGAUGAUUUCACUGGUGAAUUCUACCAAAUAUUUAAGGAAGAAAUUAUAUAGUUCUUUACAAUCUCUUGUCAUAACAUUGGAGCAACCAAGAUGCUCCUCACUAGGUGAAUGGAUAAACAGACUGUGGUACAGUCAGACAAUGGAUUAUUAUUCAGUUCUAAAAAGAAAUGAGCUAUCAAGUUAUGAAAAGACAUGGAGAAAACUUAAAUGCAUAUUACUAAGUAAAGGAAGCCAAUUUUAAAAGCCUACAUGCUGUUUGAUUCCAACUAUAUGACAUUCUGGAAAAGUAAAAAGUAUAAACAUAGCAAAAGGAUCAGUUACCAUGGGUUGGGGAGGGAGGAGGGAUUAAGAGGUGGAGCACAGAGGACUUAAAGGGCAGUGAAAAAACCCGUAUGAUACUGUGAUGGUGAGUACCUGUCAUUGCACUUGUCUCCAAACCUACAGAGUGUGCAUCACCGAGAGUGAACCCUAAUGUAGACUGUGGACUUUGGGCAAUAAUGACACAUCCACAUAUGUUCACCAGUUGUGACAAAGCCAAUACAAUGCUCAGCCUCCUUCUCCUGGUACUCGUCUUUGAGGCCCACAGUGUCUGCGCAAUGUGUCCUGGCUCCAGGUCCCAGCAGGCGGCUGUCAUUGGCAUCUGCGUGUGUGCGCAGGACCCCACCAGCGUGAAAGCAAAAGCUUCCUCUCCUCCACCCGACCCUGACAGCUGCUCCUCUUCCCCACUCUGCCGUGAACCCUUCAAAGUUAUGCUGUCUGCAAUUCACAGUUGCAAAGCCAUGGAAACAACCCAAGUGCCCAUCAAUUCAUGA